rnacentral:lncRNA from 1 species
AUGGUUUCGGUUUCAUCCUCUCCGCCUCGUCGGAUCGUCGUGCCUGCACCAACCUGCCCAGCUCCAUGGUUAUUUCCCUGGGAGGAUUUCCUGCUCUCACGCGGUCCUCAGCCUCCAGUUCAGCCGCGCGCUGCUCAGUCUCCAGUUCAGCCGCGCGCUGCUCAGUCUCCAGUUCAGCCGCGCGCUGCUCAGUUUCCAAGUCAGCCGCGCGCUGCUCAGUUUCCAGUUCAGCCGCGCGCUGCUCAGUCUCCAGAUCAGCCGCGCGCUGCUCAGUCUCCAGUUCAGCCGCGCGCUGUUCAAUCUCCAGCUCAAUCGUGCUUUGCCCAGUCUCCAGCUCAAUCGUGUUUUGCCCAGUCUCCUGCUCAAUCGUGUUUUCCCCAGUCUCCAGCCCAAGCUCCAGACGCCGCGGCCCCGUUUCACCAUGCGGAUCCCGGUACAGAGGUCCGGUCCACACCGCGCCCAGCGCCUCAAACGACGGACAGUCGCAGCUGCUCCGGACGGCGACGGCGGCGGCGCGGGUCCAGGAUCCCGGGUCCCGCGGUCUCGGUCAUGGGGACCGAGCAGCCUUCUUCCCCGACAGAGGAGCCCCUUAAUUCUCUGACUGACUGUGUCCCUCUGAUAACAGGCAUCCCAGACAGCGUCGCCCGACGGGUCCACCUCCUCUGCUCUCCUCCAGUUGCCUUUCUCUUCGCCCACCUCAUGAACACCGCCAAUUCGGCUACAGACCAGGGCGCGAGAGAACAACUGUUCGAGGAAGCAGCCGCUCUCGUCCGGAGGGAGCCUGUCCUGCGUGAGGCCCUGCAACUCCCGGGCCUGCAGCCAGCGGUCGCUUCAUGCCCCACCUCUCAGUCAGGUCAGCCGUGUGUUACUCAUGCCCCGGUGCAGCCCUGUCGCCUCCAGGCCCCAGCCCAGUCGAACCUAGUCCAGACCCCAGAUCAGCCGUGUGUCGCCCAGACCCCAGAUCAGCCGUGUGUCGCCCAGACCCCAGAUCAGUCGUGUGUUGCCCAGACCCCAGUUCCGUCCUUGUCCCCGUCAGAGGGCACCGCCCGUCUGACGAUUGUUAACCCCACCCAAUCAGGCCCGACGUCUUCCCCGUCGAGCUCGGCAGCUGUAAGCUGUCAUGCCAGCUCCGGAGUUGACGCCGUUCCAGUCCCUGUCGGCCAUGUUGCGGCCGUUCCAGCUCCUGUCGGCCAUGUUGCGGCCGUUCUAGUUCCUGUCGGCUCCUCAGAGGAGGACGCCGUUCCUGUUCCCGUCGGCCAUAUUGAGGCCGUUCUAGUUCCAGUUCCUGUCGGCUCCUUAGAGGAGGACGCCGUUCUAGUUCCUGUCGGCUCCUCAGAGGAGGACGCCGUUCUAGUUCCUGUCGGCUCCUCAGAGGAGGACGCCGUUCCUGUUCCCGUCGGCCAUAUUGAGGCCGUUCUAGUUCCAGUUCCUGUCGGCUCCUCAGAGGAGGACGCCGUUCUAGUUCCUGUCGGCCAAGCAGAGGCCGUUCCAGUUCCUGUCGGCCAUGUUGAGGUCGUUCCAGUUCCUGUCGGCCAUGUUGAGGUCGUUCCAGUUCCUGUCGGCCAUGUUGAGGUCGUUCCAGCUCUUGUCGACCAAGUUGAGGUCGUUCCAGUUCCUGUUCCUGUCGGCCAUGUUGAGGUCGUUCCAGUUCCUGUCCCUGUCGACCAAGUUGAGGUCGUUCCAGUUCCUGUUCCUGUCGGCCAUGUUGAGGUCGUUCCAGUUCCUGUCCCUGUCGACCAAGUUGAGGUCGUUCCAGUUCCUGUUCCUGUCGGCCAUGUUGAGGUCGUUCCAGUUCCUGUCCCUGUCGACCAAGUUGAGGUCGUUCCAGUUCCUGUUCCUGUCGGCCAUGUUGAGGUCGUUCCAGUUCCUGUCCCUGUCGACCAAGUUGAGGUCGUUCCAGUUCCUGUCCCUGUCGACCAAGUUGAGGUCGUUCCAGUUCCUGUCCCUGUCGACCAAGUUGAGGUCGUUCCAGCUCCUGUCCCUGUCGACCAAGUAGAGGGCGUUCCCGUAGGCCAAGUAGAGGGCGUUCCCGUAGGCCAAGUAGAGGGCGUUCCCGUAGGCCAAGUAGAGGGCGUUCCCGUAGGCCAAGUAGAGGGCGUUCCCGUAGGCCAAGUAGAGGGCGUUCCCGUAGGCCAAGUUGAGGGCGUUCCCGUAGGCCAAGUAGAGGUCACCCCUGUCUCUGACCCCGUUCCUGUCGGCCCUGUAGCGGUCGUUCCAGUCCCCGUUCCUGUCGACCCUGUAGCGGUCGUUCCAGUCCCCGUUCCUGUCGACCCUGUAGCGGUCGUUCCAGUCCCCGUUCCUGUCGGCCCUGUAGCGGUCGUUCCAGUCCCCGUUCCUGUCGGCCCUGUAGCGGUCGUUCCAGUCCCCGUUCCUGUCGGCCCUGUAGCGGUCGUUCCAGUCCCCGUCACCCGUGGAGCCGUAGCGCCCGCCGGCCCCCAGGAGGAGGUCGCGCUAGUCGCAGUUCCUGCGCACCUCCAGGAGGAGGUCGCGCCAGCUACAGCUCCUGCGCACCUCCAGGAGGAGGUCGCGCCAGCUACAGCUCCUGCGCACCUCCAGGAGGAGGUCGCGCCAGCCGCAGUUCCUGCGCACCUCCAGGAGGAGGUCGCGCCAGUCGCAGUUCCUGCGCACCUCCAGGAGGAGGUCGCGCUAGUCGCAGUUCCUGCGCACCUCCAGGAGGAGGUCGCGCCAGUCGCAGUUCCUGCGCACCUCCAGGAGGAGGUCGCGCUAGUCGCAGUUCCUGCGCACCUCCAGGAGGAGGUCGCGUCAGCCGCAGUUCCUGCGCGCCUCCAGGAGGAGGUCGCGCCAGCCGCAGUUCCUGCGCGCCUCCAGGAGGAGGUCGCGCCAGCCGCAGUUCCUGCGCGCCUCCAGGAGGAGGUCGCGCCAGCCACAGUUCCUGCGCGCCUCCAGGAGGAGGUCGCGCCAGCCGCAGUUCCUGCGCGCCUCCAGGAGGAGGUCGCGCCAGCCGCAGUUCCUGCGCGCCUCCAGGAGGAGGUCGCGCCAGCCGCAGCUCCUGCGCGCCUCCAGGAGGAGGUCGCGCCAGCCGCAGUUCCUGCGCGCCUCCAGGAGGAGGCCGCGCCAGCCGCAGUUCCUGCGCGCCUCCAGGAGGAGGCCGCGCCAGCCGCAGUUCCUGCGCGCCUCCAGGAGGAGGCCGCGCCAGCCGCAGUUCCUGCGCGCCUCCAGGAGGAGGCCGCGCCAGCCGCAGUUCCUGCGCGCCUCCAGGAGGAGGCCGCGCCAGCCGCAGUUCCUGCGCGCCUCCAGGAGGAGGUCGCGCCAGCCGCAGUUCCUGCGCGCCUCCAGGAGGAGGUCGCGCCAGCCGCAGUUCCUGCGCGCCUCCAGGAGGAGGCCGCGCCAGCCGCAGUUCCUGCGCGCCUCCAGGAGGGGGUCGCGUCAGCCGCAGUCCCGGCGGAUCCCCAGGAGGGGGUCGCGUCAGCCGCAGUCCCGGCGGAUCCCCAGGAGGGGGUCGCGUCAGCCGCAGUCCCGGCGGAUCCCCAGGAGGGGGUCGCGCCCGUCGCAGUCCCGGCGGACCCCCAGGAGGGGGUCGCGCCCGUCGUAGUUCCUGCCGACCUCCAGGAGGGGGUCGCUCCCGUCGUAGUUCCUGCCGACCUCCAGGAGGGGGUCGCUCCCGUCGUAGUUCCUGCCGACCUCCAGGAGGGGGUCGCUCCCGUCGUAGUUCCUGCCGACCUCCAGGAGGGGGUCGCUCCCGCCGUAGUUCCUGCCGACCUCCAGGAGGGGGUCGCUCCCGUCGUAGUUCCUGCCGACCUCCAGGAGGGGGUCGCUCCCGCCGUAGUUCCUGCCGACCUCCAGGAGGGGGUCGCUCCCGUCGUAGUUCCUGCCGACCUCCAGGAGGGGGUCGCUCCCGUCGUAGUUCCUGCCGACCUCCAGGAGGGGGUCGCUCCCGUCGUAGUUCCUGCCGACCUCCAGGAGGGGGUCGCUCCCGUCGUAGUUCCUGCGGACCCCCAGGAGGGGGUCGCUCCCCUGCCGACCUCCAGGAGGGGGUCGCUCUCGUCGUAG